rnacentral:rRNA from 1 species
CCUACGGGGUGCAGCAGUGAGGAAUAUUGGUCAAUGGGCGCGAGCCUGAACCAGCCAAGUAGCGUGGAGGAUGAAUGCCCUACGGGUUGUAAACUUCUUUUAUAAAGGAAUAAAGUGAGGCACGUGUGCCUUUUUGUAUGUACUUUAUGACUAAGGAUCGGAUAACUCCGUGCCAGCAGCCGCGGUAAUACGGAGGAUCCGAGCGUUAUCCGGAUUUAUUGGGUUUAAAGGGAGCGUAGAUGGGUUGUUAAGUCAGUUGUGAAAGUUUGCGGCGCAACCGUAAAAUUGCAAUUGAUACUGGCAGCCUUGAGUACAGUUGAGGUAGGCGGAAUUCGUGGUGUAGCGGUGAAAUGCUUAGAUAUCACGAAGAACUCCGAUUGCGAAGGCAGCUUACUAAACUGCCACUGACAUUGAUGCUCGAAAGUGUGGGUAUCAAACAGGAUUAGAUACCCUAGUAGUC